rnacentral:rRNA from 1 species
GACGAACGCUGGCGGCGUGCUUAACACAUGCAAGUCGAACGAAGAGCGAUGGAAGCUUGCUUCUAUCAAUCUUAGUGGCGAACGGGUGAGUAACGCGUAAUCAACCUGCCCUUCAGAGGGGGACAACAGUUGGAAACGACUGCUAAUACCGCAUACGAUCUAAUCUCGGCAUCGAGGAUAGAUGAAAGGUGGCCUCUACAUGUAAGCUAUCACUGAAGGAGGGGAUUGCGUCUGAUUAGCUAGUUGGAGGGGUAACGGCCCACCAAGGCGAUGAUCAGUAGCCGGUCUGAGAGGAUGAACGGCCACAUUGGGACUGAGACACGGCCCAGACUCCUACGGGAGGCAGCAGUGGGGAAUCUUCCGCAAUGGACGAAAGUCUGACGGAGCAACGCCGCGUGAGUGAUGACGGCCUUCGGGUUGUAAAGCUCUGUUAAUCGGGACGAAAGGCCUUCUUGCGAAUAGUGAGAAGGAUUGA